UUAAAAAGCUCGUAGUAGGAUUUCUGUGGGGACGGAGCGGCCGGCCGCAACUCGCGGUUCGAGCUAGCGCUUUCCCCACAUCCUGCCGCGAUCCGUGCUACCAUUAGUUUGGUGGCGCCGGGGAUCGGCUCGUUUACUUUGAGAAAAAUAGAGUGUUCAAAGCAGGCCACACGCCUUGAAUAAGUUAGCAUGGGAUAAUAACUAAGGACUUCGGUUCUAUUUUGUUGGUGUUCGGGACUGAAGUAAUGAUUGAUAGGGACAGUUGGGGCGGUCCGUAUUCCAAAGCGAGAGGUGAAAUUCUUAGACCUUCGGGAGACGAACAGCUGCGAAAGCGUUCCGCAAGGAUGUUCCCUUUGAUCAAGAGCGAAAGUUGGGGGAUCGAAGACGAUCAGAUACCGUCGUAGUCUCAACUAUAAACUAUACCAGCUAGGGAUCGGCCAACGUUAUUCUAUACCGACUUGGUCGGCACCUUAUGAGAAAUCAAAGCAUCUGGGUUCCGGGGGGAGUAUGGUCCCAAAGCUGAAACUUAAAGGAAUUGAC
rnacentral:rRNA from 1 species